rnacentral:snRNA from 1 species
GGUAUGAGGAGGUCUGGCUCUGAUAUGCCAUCACAGCCAACCAGGGGUUGAUUUUGUUGAUCUGUCUGCCAAGAUGGGUGUUGUUUUCCUCCCUCACUAUACCAUGUGUGUCCCUCCUGAAGCUGGAGGGACAGUUCUGGAGAAAGACCUUCCCCAAUACAAAGAGGACCAUUCGCUAGGAGCCUUGGCUCAUGCCUAUAAUCCUAGCUACUCAGGAAGAUGAGAUCUGAUAAUGGCAAUUCCAAGCCAGUCUGGUCAGGAAAGUCCAGCAGACUCUUAUCUCCAAUUAACCACAAAAAGCUGAAAGUAGAGCUGU